rnacentral:rRNA from 1 species
AUUGAACGCUGGCGGCAUGCUUUACACAUGCAAGUCGAACGGUAACAGGCCGCAAGGUGCUGACGAGUGGCGAACGGGUGAGUAAUGCAUCGGAACGUGCCCAGUCGUGGGGGAUAACUACUCGAAAGAGUAGCUAAUACCGCAUACGAUCUAUGGAUGAAAGCGGGGGACCGUAAGGCCUCGCGCGAUUGGAGCGGCCGAUGUCAGAUUAGGUAGUUGGUGGGGUAAAGGCUCACCAAGCCAACGAUCUGUAGCUGGUCUGAGAGGACAACGAGCCACACUGGAACUGAGACACGGCCCAGACUCCUACGGGAGGCAGCAGUGGGGAAUGUUGGACAAUGGGCGCAAGCCUGAUCCAGCAAUGCCGCGUGCAGGAAGAAGGCCUUCGGGUUGUAAACUGCUUUUGUACGGAACGAAACGGCUCUGGUUAAUACCCGGGGCUAAUGACGGUACCGUAAGAAUAAGCACCGGCUAACUACGUG